rnacentral:rRNA from 1 species
CUGUGGGUUGUAAACCUCUUUUCUCAGGGAAGAAGCUCUGACGGUACCUGAGGAAUAAGCAUCGGCUAACUCCGUGCCAGCAGCCGCGGUAAGACGGAGGAUGCAAGCGUUAUCCGGAAUUAUUGGGCGUAAAGCGUCCGUAGGCGGUCGAUUAACCGUGCUGUCAAAGACUGCAGCUCAACUGUGGAUAGGCAGUGGAAACUGAUUGACUAGAGUACGGUAGGGGUAGAGGGAAUUCCCAGUGUAGCGGUGAAAUGCGUAGAUAUUGGGAAGAACACCAGUGGCGAAGGCGCUCUACUGGGCCGUAACUGACGCUGAGGGACGAAAGCUAGGGGAGCGAAUGGGAUUAG